rnacentral:rRNA from 1 species
AUACAGAGGGUGCGAGCGUUAAUCGGAAUUACUGGGCGUAAAGCGCACGUAGGUGGUUAGAUAAGUCGGAUGUGAAAGCCCCGAGCUCAACUUGGGAAUUGCAUUCGAUACUGUCUGGCUAGAGUAUGAUAGAGGGAAGCGGAAUUCCACAUGUAGCGGUGAAAUGCGUAGAUAUGUGGAGGAACAUCAGUGGCGAAGGCGGCUUCCUGGAUCAAUACUGACACUGAGGUGCGAAAGCGUGGGGAGCAAACAGGAUUAGAAACCCGAGUAGUCC